UUCCCAAGCUUUAAAAAUCCCAAGGAGCACUGUGCAAGCGAUAAUAUUGAAAUGGAAGGAGUAUCAGACCACUGCAAAUCUACCAAGACCUGGCCGUCCCUCUAAACUUUCAGCUCAUACAAGGAGAAGACUGAUCAGAGAUGCAGCCAAGAGGCCCAUGAUCACUCUGGAUGAACUGCAGAGAUCUACAGCUGAGGUGGGAGACUCUGUCCAUAGGACAACAAUCAGUCGUAUAUUGCACAAAUCUGGCCUUUAUGGAAGAGUGGCAAGAAGAAAGCCAUUUCUUAAAGAUAUCCAUAAAAAGUGUUGUUUAAAGUUUGCCACAAGCCACCUGGGAGACACACCAAAAAUGUGGAAGAAGGUGCUCUGGUCAGAUGAAACUGAAAUUGAACUUUUUGGCAACAAUGCAAAACGUUAUGUUUGGCGUAAAAGCAACACAGCUCAUCACCCUGAACACACCAUCCCCACUGUCAAACAUGGUGGUGGCAGCAUCAUGGUUUGGGCCUGCUUUUCUUCAGCAGGGACAGGGAAGAUGGUUAAAAUUGAUGGGAAGAUGGAUGGAGCCAAAUACUGUCACGAAUCCCGCUUCCUGAGUCUGUGUUUGCCUGUGUUUCUGUCCUGGAGUGUGUUUCCGGUGUCCUGGAACGCACCCUGUCUGGUUGCCGGGCGAAUUAGCUUGUUGGGAGAUCGAUGUUCACCCGCACCUGUAUCCCAUCAGUAAUCUGCACACCUGUCCUGAUCAUCACCUCUCCCCUUCAAAAGCUCUGACCUGACAUCCAUUCCCUGCCGGAUCGUUAGCCAUGAACACCAUUCACCCGGAACCCAUACCCCAUCCCUGUCUGCUCGUCGCCAGUGUGUUGUUAUCCAUUGGAUCUGCCUAUCCACUCCCAUCAACCCACCUCCGCUGCCCGCUCCUCCACCCGGAACUAUCUACCUCCACGUUCUCAUUGAUUAAUAAAUACUCACCAUCUUUAUA